GUUCACACUACCUAGGUGGUCCAAAGAGCCUCAACUUGAAAAUGCAGUUUAGAGUAGCCAGAGUCUGCAACACCUUGAGGUACUUAAAAGAAGUAAGGAUACAUCCUUCUGGGAGAAACUCCCCUUCAAAUCUGGCCUCAAAGUAUUCCCCAAAAUAAGCUCAUUUCAAGUGGCUUGAGUUUCCUGUCACAUUACACACAAGAAAACAGAGACCCAUGAAGAAGACUCAAAUGAAACCCAAAACACAAAAUGGAACAACUGGAAGAAUAGGAAGCAAAAGACUUCACCUACUGGAAUUAUUAGAUAGGAAUAUAAGUAUCCUUAAUAUGGUUAAAAGAAUAAAAGAAGACAUUGAAAAUAUGAGUAGGAGUAGGAAAGUAUAAGAACCAAACAGAUUUGAAAAACAGCCAAAUAUAAUCGCUGAAAAGGAAAACAUUUUAACUGAAUUUAAAAACUCAAUGGAUGGAUUUAACCACAGAUUAGAUGCAACUAAAGAGAGGAUCAAUGAACUGAGAGAUAGAGCUGUAGAAAUUAUUCUAAAUGCAGCACAGAAACAAAUGAUAUAAAAGAUCAUUUUUAUAUCAACAAACAACAAAUUUUGUUAUAUAUAACAAAAUGAUGUAAAAGCACAGAUGAUAUAAAAGAGAGAGAAAUAAUCAUAGAAACAGAGAGAAAAGCUUUCACUUACAUCUAGUUGAGGAAGAAGCAAUAUUUCGUGAAGUAAUGGCAAACAAUUCUGAUGAGAAAUCAUAAAAAAAACCCUGAUCUUCAUAUUCAUCAAGCCCAUCAAAUCCAAAUUAGGAUAAAUAAAAGUCACACAAUAUCUAGAGACAAGAGUGAAAAUGCAGAACACCCCCACAAAGAAUAAGAGAAUAUUUAAAGUACCAGAGAGAAAAGACAAAUUUCCCACAAAGAAAUGAAAAUGAGACUGACAUCUGACUUUUCAAUAUUAACAAUGGAAGCCAGAAGACAGUGAAAUCAUGUUUAUAUUUUCUUGGCAAAAAAAAAAAAAAAAUUCUACUUUGAAUGUGCAUACCCAAAGUAAAUAUCUUUCAAGAAUAAACGCAAAAUACAAGUAUUUUUGGAUAAAUGAAAUUGUCUCUACCUACAUAUCUUCCCUAAAGGAAAUUCUGGAAGAUGUAUGUCAAGCAGAGUGAAAGUAAUCUUUGGUGGGAGGUGAGAUGCAAGAAAAAAUGAUAACCUGGCAGAUGCCUGUAAUCCCAGCUACUCAAGAGGCUGAGGCAGGAGAAUCACUUGAACCCGGGAGGUGGAGGUUGCAGUGAGCCGAGAUCAUGCCUUUGCACUCCAGCCUGGGCAACAAGAGUGAAACUCCACCUCAAAAAAAAAAAAAAAAAAAAAAAAAAAAAAAAAAAAAAAAAAGAAGAAGAAUAAAUGAUAACCCAAGAAAGUGUUACUACAUAUGUAAGCCAAUGUAAUUAGUAAUUGACAAUGUAAAACAAUGAAAAUGACUUAGGGAGUUUUACAAAUUACAAUAAAACAAAAGUCAGGAGGGAAUGGUUUGAGUUGAAGUGCUUUAUACCUUUGUUGUUUUGGAGCAAGGUAAAUCUGUUGAUUGACUAUGAAGUUUCAUAAGUUCAAUGUACAUAUUAAAUAUUAAUGUUUAAGGUAGCCAAUAAAAUAGUGAAAAUAGUAUGUAUAACUAUAAGGGGAAAAACUGGAAUAAAGAUAUUAAAUCAAUCCAAAUGAAGUAGAAAAUAGAAGAAAAAGAAAGAAAAGAGGCAAGAUAAAUAAAAAGUUCAAAAUAAAUAGCAGGAAUAAAUCCACAUAUGAGUGACUAAAAUGAAUGUAAAUAAACCAAAAAUUCUGUUAAAAGAUAAAAAUUGCCAAAUCACUUUAAGAAAUUCAAUUAUAAGCUGUUUUAAAAAGAUCUAUCUAAAACAUCAGGAUACCUAGAAGUUGAAAAAAAAGGAUGAAAGUUAAUAGACCAAGUACAUACUAACAACAACAGAAAGACAUAGCUAGAUUAAUACCAAUAAAUAGACUUUAAGAAAAAAAUCCUUACUAGAAUAAUUCCCCCCAAAAUGCAAGAACUUUAUAGUAGUUUUACUCCAUUCACACACACCCCAUGCCGUUUGUGCUAUGUUCGUAUAUUUUGUUGAUUCCUGCAUAUAAUAAACACCAAAAAGACGUUGUUGUUGAUACUGCCUUACAUAAUAACAACCCAUUGAUAUUUACCCACAUGUUUACCUUCUGGGCCCUUUUCAUUUAUUUGUACAGUCCUAUGAUUCUAUUUGGUAUUAUUUUUCUUCAGCUUAAAGAACUCCCUUCAGUACUUCUUGUACUACAAGUAUGGUGGCAGCAUAUUCUUUAAGCUUUGUUUUUACUGCAUGAAAAUUAUUUAUUUCAUCUAAAUUUGUGAAAGGAAUUUUCACUGGCUAUAGAAUUCUGUGUUGACACCUUUCUUUAAGCACCCUAAAGACAUUGUUCCAUUGUGCUUUGGUUUCCAUCGUUUCGCUGAAAAGUCAGCCAUCGAGUUUACCCUUGCUCUUUU
rnacentral:lncRNA from 10 species